rnacentral:rRNA from 1 species
GGACCUGAAUGCUAUCGGAUUGAUACUAAGCCAUGCGAGUCAUUGUAGCAAUACAAGGCAUACGGCUCAGUAACGCGUAGUCAACCUAACCUAUGGACGGGAAUAACCUCGGGAAACUGAGAAUAAUGCCCGAUAGAACAUUAUGCCUGGAAUGGUUUAUGUUCCAAAUGAUUUAUCGCCGUAGGAUGGGACUGCGGCCUAUCAGUUUGUUGGUGAGGUAAUGGCCCACCAAGACUAUUACAGGUACGGGCUCUGAGAGGAGUAGCCCGGAGAUGGGUACUGAGACACGGACCCAGGCCCUAUGGGGCGCAGCAGGCGAGAAAACUUUGCAAUGUGCGAAAGCACGACAAGGUUAAUCCGAGUGGUUUCUGCUAAAGAAACCUUUUGUCAGUCCUAGAAACACUGAUGAAUAAGGGGUGGGCAAGUUCUGGUGUCAGCG